AGCUUUGCGCAGUGGCAGUAUCAUAGCCAAUGAGGUUUAUCUCAGGCGCGAUUAUUGCUAAUUGAAAAAAUUAAAUCUGAUAAAGCUCAGAAUAGAGCAAGAGAUAAUUUUUAAAAUAAUUUUUAAUC
rnacentral:snRNA from 1 species